GUUGUAUGGUUAAGUGACUAAGCGUACACGGUGGAUGCCUGGGCAGUCAGAGGCGAUGAAGGACGUACUAACUUGCGAUAAGCGCAGAUAAGGCAGUAAGAGCCGUUUGAGUCUGCGAUUUCCGAAUGGGGAAACCCAACUGCAUAAGCAGUUACUGUUAACUGAAUACAUAGGUUAACAGAGCAAACCGGGGGAACUGAAACAUCUAAGUACCCCGAGGAGAAGAAAUCAACCGAGAUUCCGGUAGUAGCGGCGAGCGAACCUGGAUUAGCCCUUAAGCACUCGGUGAAGUAGGUGAACAAGCUGGAAAGCUUGGCGAUACAGGGUGAUAGCCCCGUAACCGACGCUUCAUCGAGCGUGAAAUCGAGUAGGGCGGGACACGUGAUAUCCUGUCUGAAUAUGGGGGGACCAUCCUCCAAGGCUAAAUACUCCUGACUGACCGAUAGUGAACCAGUACCGUGAGGGAAAGGCGAAAAGAACCCCUGUGAGGGGAGUGAAAUAGAACCUGAAACCGUGUACGUACAAGCAGUAGGAGCACCUUCGUGGUGUGACUGCGUACCUUUUGUAUAAUGGGUCAGCGACUUAUAUUCAGUGGCAAGGUUAACCGUAUAGGGGAGCCGUAGCGAAAGCGAGUCUUAACUGGGCGCUCAGUCUCUGGAUAUAGACCCGAAACCGGGUGAUCUAGCCAUGGGCAGGUUGAAGGUUGAGUAACAUCAACUGGAGGACCGAACCGACUAAUGUUGAAAAAUUAGCGGAUGACUUGUGGCUAGGGGUGAAAGGCCAAUCAAACUCGGAGAUAGCUGGUUCUCCCCGAAAGCUAUUUAGGUAGCGCCUCGGACGAAUACUACUGGGGGUAGAGCACUGUUAAGGCUAGGGGGUCAUCCCGACUUACCAACCCUUUGCAAACUCCGAAUACCAGUAAGUACUAUCCGGGAGACACACGGCGGGUGCUAACGUCCGUCGUGGAGAGGGAAACAACCCAGACCGCCAGCUAAGGUCCCAAAGUAUUGCUAAGUGGGAAACGAUGUGGGAAGGCUCAGACAGCUAGGAUGUUGGCUUAGAAGCAGCCAUCAUUUAAAGAAAGCGUAAUAGCUCACUAGUCGAGUCGGCCUGCGCGGAAGAUGUAACGGGGCUAAGCAAUACACCGAAGCUGCGGCAAUGUCUUUUAGACAUUGGGUAGGGGAGCGUUCUGUAAGCCGUUGAAGGUGAAUCGUAAGGUUUGCUGGAGGUAUCAGAAGUGCGAAUGCUGACAUGAGUAACGACAAAGGGGGUGAAAAACCUCCUCGCCGGAAGACCAAGGGUUCCUGUCCAACGUUAAUCGGGGCAGGGUGAGUCGACCCCUAAGGUGAGGCCGAAAGGCGUAAUCGAUGGGAAACGGGUUAAUAUUCCCGUACUUCUGACUAUUGCGAUGGGGGGACGGAGAAGGCUAGGUGGGCCAGGCGACGGUUGUCCUGGUUCAAGUGCGUAGGCUUGAGAGUUAGGUAAAUCCGGCUCUCUCUAAGGCUG
rnacentral:rRNA from 1 species